AUGCUUACUUCAGCAGCACAUAUAGUAAAACCGGAACAAUGAGGAGAUUAGCAUGGCCCCGGCAUAAGAGCGACAUGCAAAUUUGUGAAGCAUUUCAUAUUUUU
ensembl:snRNA U6 U6 spliceosomal RNA